rnacentral:rRNA from 1 species
UGGGGAAUAUUGGACAAUGGGGGCAACCCUGAUCCAGCCAUGCCGCGUGAGUGAUGAAGGCCUUCGGGUUGUAAAGCUCUUUUGGCGGGGACGAUGAUGACGGUACCCGCAGAAUAAGCCCCGGCUAACUUCGUGCCAGCAGCCGCGGUAAGACGAAGGGGGCUAGCGUUGUUCGGAAUUACUGGGCGUAAAGCGAGUGUAGGCGGUUGCCGUAGUCAGGUGUGAAAGCCUUGAGCUCAACUCAAGAAAUGCACUUGAUACUGGGUGACUAGAGGACCGGAGAGGAUAGUGGAAUUCCCAGUGUAGUGGUGAAAUACGUAGAGAUUGGGAAGAACACCAGUGGCGAAGGCGGCUAUCUGGACGGUUACUGACGCUAAGACUCGAAAGCGUGGGGAGCAAACAGGAUUAGAUACCCUGGUAGUCCACGCCGUAAACGAUGGGUGCUAGACGUUGGCGAGCUUGCUCGUCAGUGUCGCAGCUAACGCGUUAAGCACCCCGCCUGGGGAGUACGGCCGCAAGG